AUACUUACCUGGUAGGGGAGAUACCAUGAUCACGAAGGUGGUUUUCCCAGAGGCUUAUCCAUUGCCCUCCGGAUGUGCUGACCCCUGCGAUUUCCCCAAAUGUGGGAAACUCGACUGCAUAAUUUGUGGUAAUGGGGGACUGUGUUCACACUUUCCUCCG
rnacentral:snRNA from 1 species